GGUGAGGGGGAGCCAGAAAACCUCUCCACCGCGCAAGUAGAUGAUGACGUCACCGAAAAUAUCGAGAGCAGGGUUCUGCGGGUCGAGAACUGUCAGUCACUCAAACACCAGUGUGUAGAGCGAAGCUCCGUUUUCUGAUUAAAGGGGUAGCUAAGGCAGACAAAUAACAUAAAGAUGCCAACAGUUUGUAUAGUGCAGAAGUGCAAUGCCGCAAGACUGAAAGGUGAUAAAAAUAUUCAUUUCUUUUCACUACCCAAAGAAAAAGAUCUUAGAAAGAAAUGGAUUGAAUUAUGUGGCACACACAAUAAUCGGUCAUCUGGAUACGUAUGCAGCCGUCAUUUUGAAAGUAAUGCAUUUGAAAGAAACUUGAAAUAUGAGUUGUUUUGUUUGCCAGUGCCCCCAAGUCAAAUUAAGUUCAAGAAAGGAGCAGUGCCUACACUUGGACUACCCACAUUAACAACUUGUGAGCCACACCCUCCACAGGAAGAACCAGAGCAUCACAUCCAAGAUGCUUUGACUGCACACACUGCUGGAGCUUCAAGUCAACUUAUGACAUGUGAGACAGUCAUUGAGGUUCACCCUCAGCCACACCCUCCACAGGAAGAACUCCUACUAGAGCAUCACAUCCAAGAUGCUUUGACUGCACACACCGCUGGACCUUCAAGUCAACCUAAGACUCCACCUGAAGAAGUUGGUGAAGUGUAUCCAAGGCCACUCCUCCCACAGGAAGAACACCACUAUCAAGAAACAUGUACAUCACCUGAACCCAAAAAUAAGAAGAUGCUGCAGUUCAUUAAACGCAUGUCAUUCUACAACAAAGAUCUUCACAAAAGACUGACAAAAGUUACCAAAGAGAGAAAUUAUUAUCGUGAAGAAAUCAAGAAGUAUCAGGAAAUUAUUAAUAAAUUACGGAAUGAAUUGGAUAAUGUCAGAGUUGAAUGCCAGGAAAAUGUUU